GCCCGGAUGGCGGAACUGGUAGACGCAGGGGACUUAAAAUCCCCUGGGGCAUUCCCCGUGCGGGUUCGAGUCCCGCUCCGGGCACCA
rnacentral:tRNA from 1 species